CCCUUAGAUGUUCUGGGCCGCACGCGCGCUACACUGAUUCAUGCAACAAGUUUUGUCCUUGGCUGAUAGGCCUGGGUAAUCUUUGAACGUGAAUCGUGAUGGGGAUAGAUGAUUGCAAUUAUUCAUCUUCAACGAGGAAUUCCUAGUAAACGCAAGUCAUCAGCUUGCAUUGAUUACGUCCCUGCCCUUUGUACACACCGCCCGUCGCACCUACCGAUUGAAUGGUCCGGUGAAAUCUUCGGAUCUGAGAGAUGUCUGAUUAAUUUCGGACGCCUUUUGGAAAAGUUGCUUAAACCCUACCAUUUAGAGGAAGGUGAAGUCGUAACA
rnacentral:rRNA from 1 species